CUCCAGAUGUUGCUGAACUACAACUCCCAUGAUUCUCAGGUUAUAGUUCAUUCAUAUAAUCAUGGGAGUUGUAGUUCAGCAACAUCUGGAG